rnacentral:rRNA from 1 species
AACGAACGCUGGCGGCAUGCCUAACACAUGCAAGUCGAACGAGACCUUCGGGUCUAGUGGCGCACGGGUGCGUAACGCGUGGGAACCUGCCUUUAGGUUCGGAAUAACUCAGAGAAAUUUGAGCUAAUACCGGAUGAUGUCUUCGGACCAAAGAUUUAUCGCCUUUGGAUGGGCCCGCGUUGGAUUAGCUAGUUGGUGGGGUAAAGGCCUACCAAGGCGACGAUCCAUAGCUGGUCUGAGAGGAUGAUCAGCCACACUGGGACUGAGACACGGCCCAGACUCCUACGGGAGGCAGCAGUGGGGAAUAUUGGACAAUGGGCGAAAGCCUGAUCCAGCAAUGCCGCGUGAGUGAUGAAGGCCUUAGGGUUGUAAAGCUCUUUUACCCGAGAUGAUAAUCACAGUAUCGGGAGAAUAAGCUCCGGCUAACUCCGUG